GAUGAACGCUGGCGGCGUGCCUAAUACAUGCAAGUCGAGCGAACGGACGAGAAGCUUGCUUCUCUGAUGUUGGCGGCGGACGGGUGAGUAACACGUGGAUAACCUACCUAUAAGACUGGGAUAACUUCGGGAAACCGGAGCUAAUACCGGAUAAUAUUUUGAACCGCAUGGUUCAAAAGUGAAAGACGGUCUUGCUGUCACUUAUAGAUGGAUCCGCGCUGCAUUAGCUAGUUGGUAAGGUAACGGCUUACCAAGGCAACGAUGCAUAGCCGACCUGAGAGGGUGAUCGGCAACACUGGAAGUGAGACACGGCCCAGACUCCUACGGGAGGCAGCAGUAGGGAAUCUUCCGCAAUGGGCGAAAGCCUGACGGAGCAACGCCGCGUGAGGGAUGAAGGUCUUCGGAUCGUAAAACUCUGUUAUUAGGGAAGAACAUAUGUGUAAGUAACUGUGCACAUCUUGACGGUACCUAAUCAGAAAGCCACGGCUAACUACGUC
rnacentral:rRNA from 1 species